rnacentral:rRNA from 1 species
CCCUUAGAUGUUCUGGGCCACACACGCGCUACACUGAAGGAGGCAGCGUGUACUCCUGGAUCGAAAGAUUUGGGUAACCCGCGAAUCUCCUUCGUGCUAGGGAUUGAGGUUUGCAAUUAUCCUUCAUGAACGAGGAAUUCCCAGUAAGUGCAAGUCAUAAGCUUGCGCUGACUACGUCCCUGCCCUUUGUACACACCGCCCGUCGCUACUACCGAUUGAAUGAUUUAGUGAGGACUUCGGACUGGGACCAAUGCGGCUUUCGGGCUGCGUCGGUAUUCUGGAAAGAUGUCCAAACUGUAUCAUUUAGAGGAAGUAAAAGUCGUANCA